rnacentral:miRNA from 1 species
UUGAGCAACAGCUACAUUGUCUGCUGGGUUUCAGGCUACCUGGAAACACGUUCUU